AUGGAGCACGAACAGGUGCUAGUGGUGCCUCAGGUGUCCGGUAACAGCUGCUGCACCUGCAGCAACACGAGCUCCGGCUCUCUGAACGCGUCGUCGCCGAGCUCCGACGAUAGCAGCGCCGUCGCCGCGGGCAAGAAGCGGCCGCGCAGGGACCUGAAGCACCCGACGUACCGCGGCGUGCGCAUGCGCACCUGGGGCAAGUGGGUCUCCGAGAUCAGGGAGCCCCGCAAGAAGUCCCGCAUCUGGCUCGGGACCUUCGACACCGCGGAGAUGGCCGCGCGCGCGCACGACGUCGCCGCCAUCGCCAUCAAGGGCCGCGCCGCGCACCUCAACUUCCCGGACCUCGCGCACGAGCUGCCGCGCGCCGCGUCCGCCGCGCCCAAGGACGUCCAGGCAGCCGCCGCGCUCGCCGCGGCCACGCCGUCGCCCCUCGACGCGCUCUCGCCCGACACCAUUGCUGCGAAGGAGCGGGAGCUGGAGGUUGAGGAGGUUUCGGAGCCGGCAGCGCCCGAGCAGGCAUCAUCGCCGGAUUGUCUGAUCGAGAAUGCAGGACCAGAAUAUGGUGGCAUUGGGCUUGACUACGCGUUUCUCGACGUGCCGGACUUCCUCCUAGAGUUCGGGCUCGCGUCGCCGGAGCCACAGUCCUACUGCGGUUCGCCGUGGGAUGACGUCGACGACAACCUCUUCUUCGGGGAACCGUUGCUGCUCUGGGAGCACUGA
rnacentral:rRNA from 1 species